AUCAUCUGGGACUCUUGUUAAAAUCCAGACUUUGAUUCAGUAAGUCUUCGGUGGGCCCUAGAUUUUGUAUUUCUAACAAGGUCUCAGAUGAUACAGA
rfam:Pongo abelii chromosome X.